GAACUGGGGCUGGGAUGGGGACUCCCAGAGACCUAUAAAUAAACUGAAUACCAGCGCUGGAAGCCUUCUGGGCUGGGGCCCAGGCACCGCAAUCCUGGGGCAGGGAGUCUUUGUUGGCGGGAGGCUUCGAUUUCUGACGCGGGACCCCCAGAGGGCCAAGCCAGGGCCGAGGGCAAGUGUGAGCACCUGGGGGAAGGAAAUGGCCAAGAGCUGGAGGCAAGAGCCAGACCCUUGACUCCUCCACCGAAGGGAUUCCCCCGAGACCAUUACCUGGGUGCAGACCCCAGACUCGCCUCCCCUCGCCCAAGAAUCCCGAGGACGCGGAAGGCCGAGCCCCACGCCCCUUUGCUCCCCUUGCUUCGGGCCACGGGCCUUCUCGUACUUACCGGGGCCCGGGGACCAGUCUUCCUCGCCCGCGUCCUCUCCCCUCCCUGCCCCCUCCUCACUUCGCGUCCCCUCCUCCAGGGGCCGCAGCCAUGUCCGUUACUGGCAACUCCAAGGGGGUUUGCCUCCUUUCUCGGACAACGGAGUCGCCGGCUCGCUAGCUAAAGUCCUGGGCGUCGAUUGGUCGCAAUCCGAGACGGGCGGGGAUUCUUGGCUUCUUAUUGGCUGAGGGGAGCACUAGGCUGUAGCCACAACCUCCCCUCCGGGAGCCUGGCGGAAUUAAGUGCCAAGUGAUGCCGGCGGGAGAGCGCGCAACCACUGUCCAUCCUUGAACGUCAUGCCGUAGCGUUUUCUGAUCCAGAGGUCCUGACCAGAGGCGAGGGCACGGCUUUCACCUAGGUUGUCUACUGGGUAGAGAAUGGAUCAUAAGGAAGCAAGAACAGCUUUGAGAGGCGCAGAGAAGAGGCCUGGCAGUAAUGUGGGCAACACUGUCCCUGUGCUAAACUGGUGGCUGCCUGGGUGGAUCUGAUGGCCAACACCUUGAAUCUGUUAGCAGAGUGGGGUGGAU